rnacentral:misc_RNA from 1 species
UUUCCGUAGGUGAACCUGCGGAAGGAUCAUUAAAGAGUAAGGGUCCUCUAGGCCCGACCUCCCAACCCUUUGUUUACCAAACCAAUGUUGCUUCGGCGGGCCCGUCUUAGGACCGCCGGAGGACCGUCGAAACGUCCUCUGGCCCGCGCCCGUCGAUGGCCCUUAAUAUUAAACUCUGAACCAAACGUGUCCUGUCUGAGUGAUUAUUAUCAAAAUUAAAGCAAAAACUUUCAACAACGGAUCUCUUGGUUCUG